GACGAACGCUGGCGGCGUGCCUAACACAUGCAAGUCGAGCGGGAUCCAUCCGGUGGCAACACCGGUGAAGAUCUAGCGGCGAACGGGUGAGUAACACGUGAGAAACCUGCCCCGAACUUCGGGAUAACACGGGGAAACCCGUGCUAAUACCGAAUACCCUCUACCGGUCGCAUGGCCGGAAGCGGAAAGAUUCAUCGGUUCGGGAGGGUCUCGCGGCCUAUCAGCUAGUUGGCGGGGUAACGGCCCACCAAGGCAUCGACGGGUAGCUGGUCUGAGAGGACGGUCAGCCACACUGGGACUGAGACACGGCCCAGACUCCUACGGGAGGCAGCAGUGGGGAAUCUUGCGCAAUGGGCGAAAGCCUGACGCAGCAACGCCGCGUGCGGGAUGAAGGCCUUCGGGUUGCAAACCGCUUUCGGCAGGGAAGAAAAUGACGGUACCUGCAGAAGAAGCCCCGGCCAACUACGUGCCAGCAGCCGCGGUAA
rnacentral:rRNA from 1 species